rnacentral:rRNA from 1 species
UGGAUCCAGACUUUGAUUAUGGCUCAGGAUGAACGCUGGCGGCGUGCCUAACACAUGCAAGUCGAACGGACCGAAGAUAACAGAGAUUCGUCAAAGUAAUCUGAAGGUUAGUGGCGGACGGGUGAGUAACGCGUGGGUAACCUGCCUUAUAGAGGGGGAUAACGAUUGGAAACGGUCGCUAAUACCGCAUAAGCCCCCGGUACCGCAUGGUACAGAGGGAAAAGAUUUAUUGCUAUAAGAUGGACCCGCGUCAGAUUAGUUAGUUGGCGGUGUAACGGACCACCAAGACGACGAUCUGUAGCCGGACUGAGAGGUUGAACGGCCACAUUGGGACUGAGACACGGCCCAAACUCCUACGGGAGGCAGCAGUGGGGAAUAUUGCACAAUGGGGGAAACCCUGAUGCAGCGACGCCGCGUGGGUGAAGAAGUUUUUCGGAAUGUAAAGCCCUAUCAGCAGGGAAGAAGAUGACGGUACCUGACUAAGAAGCCCCGGCUAACUACGUGCCAGCAGCCGCGGUAAUACGUAGGGGGCAAGCGUUAUCCGGAUUUACUGGGUGUAAAGGGAGCGUAGACGGAAUAGCAAGUCUGAAGUGAAAUCAUAGGGCUCAACCCUGUAAUUGCUUUGGAAACUGUUGAUCUUGAGUACCGGAGGGGCAGGCGGAAUUCCUGGUGUAGCGGUGAAAUGCGUAGAUAUCAGGAAGAACACCGGUGGCGAAGGCGGCCUGCUGGACGGCAACUGACGUUGAGGCUCGAAAGCGUGGGGAGCAAACAGGAUUAGAUACCCUGGUAGCCCACGCUGUAAACGAUGAAUACUAAGUGUUGGCACCCGAAGGGUGUCGGUGCUGCCGCAAACGCAAUAAGUAUUCCACCUGGGGAGUACGUACGCAAGUAUGCAACUCAAAUGAAUUGACGGA